UGUUCACUCAUUUGGAGAUAUUAUUGAUAAUACAUAGCCAUGGUUUGGAAACCUUAUGCUAGGGUCAGCCUCCACAAGGUUUCUUGAAAAACUUAAAGGAAUUGGUUGUGAGACAUUGUAAAAAGUUGCAAGUGGUGUUUCAAAUGGAUGAUCUCCCUUGCAAUGGGGAAUAAAAUCAAGAGAAACCACUUUCAAAUUUACAAUCGUCGGAGCUCUUAGGUUUACAAGAAUU